rnacentral:RNase_P_RNA from 1 species
GCCGGAGGGUCUGUCGCUCGUAUUCCAUAUAAAGUACGAGAGGAAAGUCCGGGCCACACAGAGCACCAUAUUUCCUAACGGGAAGCUAUCGGAAACGGUAGGGUCAAUGUGACAGAAAACAACCGCUCGCGAGAGCAAGGGUGAAAAGGUGAGGUAAGAGCUCACCGGGCGCCACAGCGAUAUGGCGUGCCGCACAACCUAUGGGUUGCAAGGUCAAGUAUACCGGCAUUCAAGGGCUGCUCGUCCAUUGCCGGGGGGUAGACCGCUCAAUGCCUCCUCCGGGAGGCCAGAUAAAUGACAGACGGCGGGCGACAACUCCCUUUCGCGGGGACAGUAUCACCGCCACAUAACCCGGCUUAUACUCCGAC